CUCGUAGGCGGUCUGUUUAGUCGGGUGUGAAAGCCCUCGGCUCAACCGAGGAAUUGCAUUCGAUACUGGCAGGCUAGAGUCUAGCAGAGGGAAGUGGAAUUCCCGGUGUAGCGGUGAAAUGCGCAGAUAUCGGGAAGAACACCGGUGGCGAAGGCGGCUUCCUGGGCUAUGACUGACGCUGAGGAGCGAAAGCUAGGGGAGCAAACA
rnacentral:rRNA from 1 species